rnacentral:rRNA from 1 species
UACGAAGGGGGGCUAGCGUUGUUCGGAAUUACUGGGCGUAAAGCGUGCGCAGGCGGCCUUCCAAGUCAGGGGUGAAAGCCCAGAGCUCAACUCUGGAAUUGCCUUUGAGACUGUGAGGCUUGAGUACGGGAGAGGUGAGUGGAAUUCCCAGUGUAGAGGUGAAAUUCGUAGAUAUGCGGAGGAACACCGAUGGCGAAGGCAAUCCCCUGGACCUGUACUGACGCUCAUGCACGAAAGCGUGGGGAGCAAACAGG